AACGAACGCUGGCGGCAUGCCUAACACAUGCAAGUCGAACGAGACCUUCGGGUCUAGUGGCGCACGGGUGCGUAACGCGUGGGAACCUGCCCUUAGGUUCGGAAUAACUCCCCGAAAGGGGUGCUAGUACCGGAUAAUGUCUUCGGACCAAAGAUUUAUCGCCUUUGGAUGGGCCCGCGUUGGAUUAGCUAGUUGGUAGGGUAAAAGCCUACCAAGGCGACGAUCCAUAGCUGGUCUGAGAGGAUGAUCAGCCACACUGGGACUGAGACACGGCCCAGACUCCUACGGGAGGCAGCAAGGGGGAAUAUUGGAAAAUGGGCGGAAGGCUGAUCCAGCAAAGCCGCGUGAGUGAUGAAGGCCUUAGGGUUGUAAAGCUCUUUUACCCGGGAUGGUAAUGACAGUACCGGGAGAAUAAGCUCCGGCUAACUCCGUG
rnacentral:rRNA from 1 species